rnacentral:piRNA from 1 species
UAGUGUCUCCUGAGUCAUUCAUUUGCUGU